UUUGAACUGAGGUCUCUUUAAAGGAGCCUGUCUGCUGUGAAAGGUUACAGUUGUUUUUCAGUAUCAUCUGGAGAUCAUCUAUUGUUUGUGACCAGUCACUGCUUGUUUUGGAUAUUCAGCAUUUGAAAUGGCUUCCGAAGGAUCUUUCCACAGCAGGAUCUACUUCCUCUGCCCUCACUGCAAGAAGGCUCCACGCUCUCUUCCUGGGCACCUCAGGACGGCGUGCAUGCGCGACCGCGCAGAGGCAGAGGUACGGGCCACUGUGAUUGAAGCCAAGAAAGAGAUGUCUGAAUUUACCCACAGGGGACGUUUCUGGGAGUACCAGCGUAUUCAAGACAUUUUGGCAACUGCUGAUCCUCUUGCCAGGUUGUUAGACGAGAUGCAAAAGAAGGGCUUAGUGGUAACAAACAAACCUCCAGUCCUCCCUAACCCCACACUGCCUGUGCCCUCUUUACCUUCAUCUGCUCCUCAAAGCCCUGGAGAAGGUGCGAACGAGCCACAUGUUGUGACGAACAUGACCCCAGAAACUGCUGAGAAGCAUUACAGUA